UACGAAGGGGGCUAGCGUUGCUCGGAAUGACUGGGCGUAAAGGGCGCGUAGGCGGCUCAUAGAGUCGGGCGUGAAAUUCCUGGGCUUAACCUGGGGGCUGCGUUCGAUACCUAUGGACUGGAGUGAGGAAGAGGGUCGUGGAAUUCCCGGUGUAGAGGUGAAAUUCGUAGAUAUUCGCAAGAACACCAGUGGCGAAGGCGGCUCACUGGCC
rnacentral:rRNA from 1 species